rnacentral:rRNA from 1 species
UGGGGAAUUUUGCGCAAUGGACGAAAGUCUGACGCAGCAACGCCGCGUGGAGGAUGAAGGUCUUAGGAUUGUAAACUUCUGUUAAUUGGAAAGAAAUGCGCAGGGUUAAUACCCCUGUGAGCUGACGUUACCAAUUGAGAAAGCCCCGGCUAACUUCGUGCCAGCAGCCGCGGUAAUACGAAGGGGGCGAGCGUUAUUCGGAAUUAUUGGGUGUAAAGGGCGUGUAGGCGGUGUAAAAAGUCUAUUGUUUAAUCCUCUGGCUUAACUGGAGAACUGCAGUAGAUACUAUUAUGCUAGAGUAUGGAAGAGAGAAGUGGAAUUCUCGGAGUAGCGGUAAAAUGCGUAGAUCUCGAGAGGAACGCCAAUGGCGAAGGCAGCUUCUUGGUACAUUACUGACGCU